rnacentral:rRNA from 1 species
AGGAGCAGAUUCUCGUAACGGAGGAAGCUCUUCGGGGCAGGAAGACAGGUGGUGCAUGGUUGUCGUCAGCUCGUGUCGUGAGAUGUUGGGUUAAGUCCCGCAACGAGCGCAACCCUUAUCGUUAGUUGCUACCAUUAAGUUGAGCACUCUAACGAGACUGCCGCGGUUAACGUGGAGGAAGGUGGGGAUGACGUCAAAUCAUCAUGCCCCUUAUGUCUAGGGCUACACACGUGCUACAAUGGCCGGUACAACGAGAUGCAAACCCGUGAGGGGGAGCCAAACUUCAAAGCCGGUCCCAGUUCGGAUUGUAGGCUGAAACUCGCCUACAUGAAGUCGGAGUUGCUAGUAAUCGCGAAUCAGCAUGUCGCGGUGAAUACGUUCCCGGGUCUUGUACACACCGCCCGUAACGUA